AGGUGUCUUACUGCAGAAAAUGAGAGAAAAAUGCUGUUUGAGGGGUACCUAUGCACCUGCAGGAUCAGGAAGCACAGGGAGAUGUGACCUCCCAUUUCUAGCCCAGAUGACUUGGAAGAUGGGGGAGCUGAUACAGACUCUGUGGGCAUCUCUGCAGCUGUGCCACCAAACCUCAGCCCAGAUGUGAAUGCCAGGGGGAGAAGUGGAAGACAACACAAGGAGGAAAGGCGUGACUGGGAGCAGCAAGCAUCUUGAGGGAAGUGCUUCAUGGCAGCCCUUCCAGAUUCAAGGCUUGCCACAGGUGUUCCUGCUGCAGGAUGGGCCUGGCUCAUCUCAUCCAGCAUCCCCAGGUAGAGCAUCCCUAGGGAGCCCCCCCAGGGCACCUU
rnacentral:lncRNA from 1 species